rnacentral:lncRNA from 1 species
CCCCGAUGACACCAUGGAUGAGGAGAUGCUGAUUCUAGAAGACUAGAAGUAGAUUUCCUCCUCUGGAAGGACACAAUCUACUGCUUAUAUGUCUAUGUGUCUGUCUUUAGAGAGACAACUCGUUAUCGCACGAUUGAACGUGAAUCCGCAGAUUCUUGUAAGAUUGCCGCGAAAUUCACCUCACAAACCGAUCCAGUAGGAAUCGGCGUACGGCGAAAAUCGCUGAUGUUCUGGAUAUGGUGAAGAUUAGGGGUAAGACCUCCUGAGAUCCAGUCCUGGUCCAGACCCCUCAGUGGUGGUUUAAAGAAGUCAAAUCUAGACUGAACUUGAGUCAGAAAUCUGGAAAUCUGCGACUCUGACAAAAACAAACGAGCGUUUCAAAGUUCGAUGAACUUCUCAGACAGAAGUUUGUUUAGUUCUUCCUGUGACCUCAGAGCGAGCAGAUCCAUCAGGACGUCAUCCUGAAAAUGAGACACGAGUUUAUUUAAAAAAGUCCUGAACUCUGAAUGUAUACUGAUGAAAAGUCAAAGAUGGAGGGACUGACAGCAGCUCUCAGACAUCAUUCACCACCACAUGUCCACCGAGGAGCUGCUGUCAGAUCUGAGGAGGCGGAACACAGACGGACGGACAGACGGACGGACUGUGAAUCCUCAUUAGCUGCUCUUUGUCUGAACGUCUGAGGAGGAGCGAUGAACCGAGGGGAGAUCAGAGCGGAUUAGGGAUUAAGAGGAGGAAGGAGGAGGAUGAGGAGGAUGAGGAGGAGACAUUAAAGGGAGUUAAUAGUUUUACAUCUGCGGAGGGUGAUUCCUGACGGGUGACACGUCAUAUUCAGAGUGAUUACAUGCUGCCAGAGACGCUUUUAAAUCCUCCACCGCCACAGCAGCAGCAGCGCCGACAGUGUUUGUGUGCAGGGGGACGCCGGCGCCGGAUACUGGUCAGACACGCCCACUGCAGCAGAGGCGGAGUUUAAAUAUAUGAAGGUCAGCUUUGGGACAGAUGAAGAGUUCAUACGUCAGGAUGGUUUUCUACUUCUUUAGAAAAAGUCAGAAUCAUAUUUCAUCUGCAGAGUUUAAGACAUCAUCAAUCAAUCACAGAGAAAAUAACACGACAGACAGAAGAGAGAGAGAUCCUCAGGUCACGUUUACAUCCUCCCUGACCUCUGACCUCUUGAGUCAACAUCCCUCUUAGCCCAUCGACUCCUCUUCAAAUAAAGAGUCUCUCCACAGCGGUCUCUGCAGGUCUGAACGCGGACUGAUGGAGUCCCUGAGGGCGUUCAGGACCAGGACGGAUAUUUAAAGGGAAGUUACUCCCAAUUUUCACCACAUCCAGAACGACAGCGAUUUUUCGCCAUUCGCCAAUUCCUACCAGAUCCGUUUGGGAGGCGAAUUCACGGCGGAUUGAAAAGAAGCCGGAUGUUUUAUUUUGUGUCUGUGCCCGACUUCCUUUCCAGCACGGGUUCAUCUGGGCUGAAUUUAUCCGCCAUGCUCCGGCGUCCAGAAAAAGUAGAACUCGUGUGUUCAGCUGAGGAAUGGAAAGAAGCCGUGAGGCGGUGGACUCAGCCUGUAGAGACCCACCUGUCAGUCAGCGAGGUCCCGCCCACCGCUGUGCAGAUCAUCGCAGCUUCAGUCCGAUCAGAACAACUACAGUCGGAUCAGAACAGCUGACUCCAUCACGGAUGUCUGAUCCUCUAAUCUUUGGAUUCACACUCCUCAGUUUAACAGUGUGUGUGUGUGUGUGUGUGAGUAUGUCAGUGUGUGUGUGUGUGUACAUAUUAAUAUAAAUAUGUAUACAGUAUAUAUAUAUAGACAGAGGUCAGAGGUCAGAGGGUUAUAUCACGGUGUAAGUCUGACUCUCUGGAGCUCCCUCAGACUCUGCUCCUCUCUGUUCAUGUUCCUCUGAUCGUCUCCUCCUCUUCGCCGUUUUUGUCUCCGCGUCUCUUUUCCACAAACAAACAGACCGACUGUGACACAGUGUGGGAUUGAGGCGUGAAAGGGCGCGCGCAGAUAGCGGGGCAGGAUUAACAGUUACUUUAAAAUGCAGAGUGGAAAGGGAAGGGUUAAUCCAAUCCUCUAAUCCUCGGGCGAUAAGGAGCUUAACACGGAGGGUUCGGAGUUAUAGAUAUUUAGAAAUGUGGGAGCGUUCUAUAGCAGCUGAGUUUGGCUCGCUCUGCGCUCAGCGGGAAGGUUGGAGUCCACGACUGAGAGGAGAGGAGGGAGCUGGAUCAGAGAGAGGGAGAGAGAGGGAAGAGGGACACACCUGAACAGCUGGAGA